rnacentral:lncRNA from 1 species
CAAUUCAAGCUCGAUAACCAACAUAGACUGAUGAAUCACACAUUGUUCUUCUCCUGUUGACUUGAGAUCCUAACAAAAGAAAGCAAAAAUAUUAGUCAACCCUACCAUGAUUUUGGGACUAAUUUUUAUCUCAUGUAAAGAACAGAUCACCAUGGAACCCAGGAAGGGUGGUGAUGAUCGCCACAGCCUGAGACCUUUGCCGACAGGACUGCAUCCAGUUUUGGAGAUCAGUGGGGCUUCCAUUGGAUCCACCAGCAGACACAAGUCCUUUUACCUUUCCCAAAAGCCACAGCGAGAUCAGUGGGCCAUCUCGGUCCCUCAGAGAUCGCCAUUUGUUUGUGGUCAAGUACUGCAUUUAGAUAUGAUCUCAACGAGGCUUUCAUUCCAUCACAUUGAUGAACAGUUGAAAGGUUUGUCAAGAUACUCCUACAUGCGCUAAAAGAGCUCACGAAUCCAUUCUGGAGCUCCACAAAGGAACAAGAAAUCACCAGUAUACGGCUGAAUAGUCUCCCCACUAACAACAGUGGCCGGAGACAAAUAAUCGGCACAACCACGGAGACAACAGUAUGGAGAGCCAAAAUUAUCCUACUUGUAUAUACUUUAGAACAACUGCUUCGAUCCUUUGUUCCAAGGAAACAAACAUCCCAGUAGAUGAACGAACCAUUGGUAUCCGUAAGAUCUCUGUCAAACCCUAAUGUGCAGGAAGAGUUGUGGUAUGAUAAGUGGCAAGUCAACUCUAAUUGCUUUCUUCUAUUUAUAUAAGCUUCUGAAUCUUUCCAUGACAAUAACAAAGGUGCCGCUCUCACUUUUCUUCGAGAAAAAGAGAGAGGCUCAAUUUGCUGGUGGAGAUAUAGUGAGUUCUUAUAGUCGCACUAGUGAUUGGCUGAGUUGGAAAGAGAAGUCGCUAAGAGAAAAACAAAAGGAAGGAAAGAGAGAAAGAGAGAGAGAGAGAUGCAUCCUUCAAACUCGAUAAGGAUAACAGUAAUCCGAGAACCACAUAUUGGCUCGGAAGCAGGACAUCAACAUCCCUCGAGAAGCACCCACCUAUCACACACAGCUUGAGUGCACUGCUGGUUCUCAGCUCAACACAAAUUGCUGAAGGGAUUCGAUGAUCUUGUGGAUGCUGAUGUAUGAUUUCUAUCACCCAUAAUUAUUAGAACUCUUCUGAGUCAUCGGUUGACCUGAUAGAAUAUAUGUAAAAAAUAAUAAAAAUAGUAUAUUUGAUGUUAUUAUUCAAAAUUCAAAUAAAAACAAAGAGAAAAAAAAUAAAAGUGAUCACCUAUUAGAAGAAGAAGAAGAAUCAAAGGUGUCGGCGAAGCUCAAUGCUUU